CAACCCACCCCCGUUUAUCUAAAAAAAUAAUAUUCCACCGAGGCCCUGAUCCAGACCCCCUCCACCGCGGCCUCCUUCCACCUCCUCUCAUCUCCAAACGCCAUGGCCGGCUUCCCGGGGGCCGGCGGCUACGACACCAUGGACGGAUCCAGCGACGACGAGGACGAGGAGGCCAUGAAGAGCCUCUACGCCGGCGCGCCCCCCGCCCCCGCGGAGGAGGAGGAGGAGGUCGACGAGGGGUACGCUGUUGCGGCGAUGUAGGCAGGGGAGGAGAGGGGGAUCGGGAAGGAGGGGCUGCGGAAGAGACUGGUGCGGGAGGGGGAGGGGUCGCAGCUCCCCGGCACCGGCGACGAGGUCGAAGUGCACUACACGGGGACGCUGGCGGACGGCACCAAGUUCGACUCCAGAGAAGCCCCGUUCCGGUCACCCUCGGCCGAGGUUCAUUAAUGACAGCCAAGGGUUCAUGCUCGGAAACGACUACAUCUUGCUCCAUGUUGUCGGCUCAGCUAAAGUCCUUAAUCAUGAGGAGAUGGGACACGUCGAUUGUUAGAGUACACUUGACAGAGGUGAUCGACGCUGACUAGCACGGCCCGGUGGCACUGUGCUCUUCAACCACUCGGGGACGGACUUCGCCGUGAAGCCUGGUUGCCACGUCGCAUAGAUGAUCGUCCAGGUGAUUUCGACACUGGAGGUCGCCGAGGUGGAGGACCUUGACGCCACCGUCCGGGGGAGAGAGGAUUCGAGUCCACCAACGUCUGAACUCCGAGCGUAGGUAGAUACAUCUAGAGAACUGGUCUAUUUAGGUUGGUGGUAGACCACUAGGGAAGGUACCCACCUUACGAUGAUGGUUGUGUGUGUCUGAUGUUAAAUGAAAUCUUGAGAUGGUUCUGUGAUAUGUUAAAUGGAAUAUUGAGAUG